GGAGCCCGCCCUGAGGGCCGAGCGCUGCGCCGGGCCCCGCGCUGAGGGCUGUGGAGAGGAUCCCGCCCGCCUGGCUGGUAGCGGGCUCCCAGGGAGAGUGUCUGCCCUGCCGGCACAGCAGACGCCUUGGGUGAUUCAGAAAUGAGCAGUGGGAGCGCUCGGUGAUUUUCACGGGAGGAAGACAGCAGCCAGCAAGGCCCCGGCUCCCUGCCAUCUUGAGCCCUUCCUGGUGAUUUGCAGCAGCACAGAUAAGUACGGAGCACUGAGGACUGAAGUCAGCGUUUGGACCUGACUUUAUUUUAGUGUAAAUGACCACACGAGAUUCAUACCAACAGAGAUAUAGGAGUAAAAUAGCAGAAGUACAUAAAUGCCUCUCCUAAAAGUACGGUUUCGAGUAUUUAAAGGUUAAGGAGAUAUAUAGAAAAGAGUCCUCUCCACAUGUGUUUAUGUUUACGUGUCCUAACAGAAGGUGACGCAUUAUCUUACAUGCCAGAUCAUUUGUGGAAGAAAAUCAGGAGAAACCAAGCAGGGUUUGCCGGUAUCUCAGAGAUCUUUCCAAGUAGCGUCUUCUUUAACAAGGCCUCAGAUUUAAAGAUACUGAAACAGGAAUAUCUCAACAUUCGUAAUACUGCCUACAUUAAGAAAAAUUUUGCUCUCAGUUUAUACUCGUGUGGGUAUGCAAGCAGCAAGUCAGUGAAGCAUCACCAGGAAAGGACGGUUCUGUUUCAUAUUCUAGUAACUGAUCUAUUAGUUUAACAGUCCUCAGUUUCAUUUUUCCUAUAUUUUUUUCCCCCUUUUUGUUACUCCUGGAAAUUUGGAGUGCUAGCUUGUUCGUUGCUUUCCCUUCCCCUGCUAGUACCCAUUUUAAAAGGUGCAGCCCUAUUCUGCUCAGGUUUUGUUCUCACACAUGGAAAUUUUUAAAGUUCUUUUUUGCAAGCAGUAGGUUGGUGAGGGAGAGAUCUGCACUAUAAAAUAGCAAACCAACUAAACUGUACUCCAGUGGGAGAUUAAAUAAGAAAGAAGAGAAUGGCCGAGGCGAGUCGUUUGUCGCAGAUGUUCAUGCAGUUCUGUGUUUGGUUUUAAGCUGGAUUCAUCAAACGUGCUAAAGAGUAAUUUUUGUCUGAUAUGAAGUUUCUAUCCAAAGAGUCUGAGUGGGUUCGGUUUAAACCGUGGUUUGAAAAUGCAAGGGAAUGUUACCGGUCGGACACAAGAAAGUCAGACUGUUUUUGCAAUCUUAAUUCAGUAGUAAGAAGCAAAAUGUAUUGGAAUUAAAUUGCUGUGUAACACAGUUACUUAAGUUUCAAAAUCCCUUUGUGUACUGAGUACAAAUAUUUUACCAUAAAUGUCAGAAUUCCAUAGAUGAUAAAGGGUGCUUAUGCUGUUGGAGGGUAAGCAUGAAAUGCCGACGUGAUAACGUCUGAUACCAAAAUGGUGUAUGCUGCUUGUACAGUAUUUCCCAAGUUUACGACGUAACUUUAGAAAUAAAACUUAGUGAAAACGCAUGAGAUGAGCACAAAUGUAAUACUUACAAUUACCAGACUAUCUCAAAAAAAAUAUUUAACAGAGUGGAACACAAAUGAGGAGGCCCAGAAAUAAAAUUACUUUAAAAGGGGGAUCUUGAAAAAUUCAUCAUAUCAAACUCAUUCUUAGUUCCUGUAAGUUUCUGUCUCUUUUAACAUAUUUUCCCCUUUUAAAGUUCAUUUCUGUCUCUGUUCCCUCAAAAAUUCUGCGCUCCUUCCCCAAAAAGGGAAGCAUGUUAUGGUUACAAAUACCUUCUGCUGACUGAAGUAAAAUGAUCUUUUUUCCCAAACGAAAAUGUAUGUAUUAAUUCGCUAAACUGUUCCAGCUAUGUUUACGUAUGUUAUUUCUGAGAAAUGAUGAGGGCUGCACGAUAUACUGCAGCAUACUACGAUGUAGUAGCUGUAGUCGAGCAUUUUUGUUAUUUGUAAUCAAAUAGACAGAAUUGUCAGCCUAUUUGCUUUUAAGUACCUGGAAGCUGAAUUAGAAACACGAUUUUUAAUACAAUGAAUUUGACAUUUCAGUCUGCACUUGCUUUUUUUCUUUCGUAAAUGAGCACUGAUUAUCAGAAAAAUCAAGGCUUACAUAAUCAAGCCAUACAUUUUUCUGCUCUUCUUUCUCUUCCCCCACUUUAGCCAUCAUUUUCCUCGGAAAAAUGAAAAUUUUUGAAUAGAGAAUUACUAUGACAUACUAAUUAUAUACACAUUUUCACGGGACUGCAUAACCAGCCUAUUUGUAUGUAUUUAGUAAAAGAAGGCCGUCAACAAAAUAUUACAACCUUGAGAUGGCUAAACUUUAAAAUUACAGUAAUCAUUAAAUACAGCAUUAUCUUGUUGAUGUGCCUGUCUGUGUACCACUGAGUCAUUUUUCUUUGCUUGGAGAAGUAGGGUGCUUCUAUUUAUUCCUUAUUCAGAUAACAGAAAUAAGAACGUCCUACCCCAUUUUUUUUAAUCGUCGCAAAGCUGAUUCCCCUUCAUAAAGAAGCUGGUUUUAAUAUUCAGUUUUCAGAGGGAGAAGUGAUUGCCGUGGACAAAUAUAUAGCAAAUGAAUUGAAGCUCUG
ensembl:lncRNA